rnacentral:lncRNA from 1 species
UUGUUGAAUCGACCAUCCUGAAGUAACGGUUCAGGCUCCAUUGGUAGUCCAUUUGGUCCCAUCGGCCUUUCAUAUAUUCUUGUCAACGCCGUGUUCAUAGGAUCGGGUUCAAACACCUCUGGAGCAUCGUAGUCAUACUCAUCCUCCACAAUCAUGUUGUGGAGGAUGAUGCAAGUAAUCAUAAUACUCCUCAGCACCUCCUCGUCUAGCAUCCGAGCAGCACCCC